rnacentral:rRNA from 1 species
UGUUGCUGGCCUUUGGGUAUGUGCACAUCCUCCUCCGAUUUCUAUUCAUCCACCUGUGCACUUUUUGUAGGAGUUCUUUCAUCGGGUUUUUGAAGGUGCUCAUUAUGAGUUACUUGAAAAGACUAGUUGACAAGGCUUCUAUGUUCUUAUAAACCAUUGAAGUAUGUUAUAGAAUGAUCUUGUUAUUGGGACUUUAUUGACCCUUUAAACUUAAUACAACUUUCAGCAACGGAUCUCUUGGCUCUCCCAUCGAUGAAGAACGCAGCGAAAUGCGAUAAGUAAUGUGAAUUGCAGAAUUCAGUGAAUCAUCGAAUCUUUGAACGCACCUUGCGCCCUCUGGUAUUCCGGAGGGCAUGCCUGUUUGAGUGUCAUUAAAUUCUCAACUUUAUAAGUUUUUACUUAUUAAAGCUUGGAUGUUGGAGGCUUGCAGGCAUUUGUCAGCUCCUCUUAAAUUUAUUAGUGGGAACCCUGUUUUGUUAGUUCUAACCUUGGUGUGAUAAUUAUCUACAUUUUGGUGGAACCUUACAAUAAUAAAGCUCUAUUGGUUUGGGUUGUUGCAUUUAGUUUGCUCAAUCUGUUCUAUUCAUUGGAGAAAAAGGGAAGUUCUGCUUUCUAACUGUCUUGAUUGACUAUAUAUAACUUAUUUGCUUGACCUCAAAUCAGGUAGGAUUACCCGCUGAACUUAAGCAUAUCAAU